rnacentral:rRNA from 1 species
UACGUAGGUGGCAAGCGUUGUCCGGAAUUAUUGGGCGUAAAGCGCGCGCAGGUGGUUCCUUAAGUCUGAUGUGAAAGCCCACGGCUCAACCGUGGAGGGUCAUUGGAAACUGGGGGAACUUGAGUGCAGAAGAGGAAAGUGGAAUUCCACGUGUAGCGGUGAAAUGCGUAGAGAUGUGGAGGAACACCAGUGGCGAAGGCGACUUUCUGGUCUGUAACUGACACUGAGGCGCGAAAGCGUGGGGAGCAAACAGG